UUUUUUUUUUUUUUAAAAUAAAAAAGACCAAGAACCAAAAAAAAAAAAAAAAAAAAAACCCACCCAAAAACUUGGCCAUGGAACAAGCGGCCAGUGGAGGAUCAGCUUUUGUCGCUGGCCUUCUGAAGAAACAGAUCUCUAACUGAGGUACUGCCUGUCGUUAUGGUCAUAGUGAGAAUAAAAUGAAGGUCUAUAUAAGUAUUCUGUGCUGGGUGAACAAAAUACCUUGAGGCUGGAGGAAUGGGUUGGAUCAGAUUAGCUGUUGUCUUCCAGAGGAUCCGGGUUAGAGUCUCCGCAACCAUGUGGCGGUUCACAGUUGUCUGUAAUGCCAGCUCCAGGGAACCUAGUACCCUCUUCCAGCCUCUCUGACACACACACACACACACACACACACACACACAGAUUAAAAAAG
rnacentral:lncRNA from 1 species